rnacentral:rRNA from 1 species
UACGGAGGAUGCAAGCGUUAUCCGGAAUGAUUGGGCGUAAAGCGUUCGCAGGUGGCUAUGUAAGUCUGCUGUUAAAGAGUGAGGCUCAACCUCAUAAGAGCAGUGGAAACUACAUGGCUAGAGUGCGUUCGGGGCAGAGGGAAUUCCUGGUGUAGCGGUGAAAUGCGUAGAGAUCAGGAAGAACACCGGUGGCGAAAGCGCUCUGCUAGGCCGCAACUGACACUCAUGGACGAAAGCUAGGGGAGCGAAUGGG